GUCCCAUGCUGAGGAUAAUCGAGGAUGUACUCUUGAACCCUGUCCCAUGCCUCCCAAAUUGACUCAUACGAUAUUUGCUGGAAGCCUAAAACUUUUUCGUGAAGGGC
rnacentral:snoRNA from 1 species